UCCCCUCCCCCUGCGAGCUCGUUUCGUCACCAGCACCCAGGGCCAUCUAAACCGAGCCGCUAACUCCGCGCUCGAGCCCGAUUCCUGCCCCCUGGGCGCAGGUUUCAGCGGUGGGCGCCCACGCUCGGCUUUCCUCCGGAGACUCGCCCUCGGCCCGUGUGUGCUGGCGGCUGCUUUGCAAAGCCGAGCGCAGAAAGGAGUCACCCAAAUACAACCCUGUCCGCCGUUCGGCCUCUGCCCAGCGCUCGAGAUUUUGCAGCAAGCGGGCCGCGGCUUGAGAGGGGGUUUGAGGCACUGCCACAGCAGGGAACUGGGUGGAUGUCGUGGCGUUCAGACUAGAUAAACCCCCUGGCGCUAGUUUCUAUUGAGCAGCUAGUUCCUUGGCCCGCACGAAUGCGGUUAUCGCGACAAGUCACGAUCGGGCCCAGAGUCUCUGGGAAACGAACAUGCUUCAUUUCCAGAUCUGGGUCCUUCCUGGUGCGAGGCAGCAGAUAACUUUCCUAGACCGAGCCCUUCACAGAGGGUCUGCGCCUCUCCGCUGGUUGUCUGCCAACACUUUGCAGCUUCAGCGGCUACCGCUCCGCAUGCAAGGGUUGCUAGUCUAAUCCGGAUUACAUUACUCACACCGAUACCACACCCACCUUCGCUCUCCCAUACACACGUACACAGGAGAAUCACCAUGGAGACUAGCCCUUGUAACAGCCUCUGCCCGAGCUUUGUAUUGAAUCAGGUGGCUAGUACUUGCAAAAAGAAGGGAUCAUCUUUUCUAGAGAGCUCGGUGUCUUCUAAACAGCUGCUAAAGCCACGCCAGCGUCUGUGCCUAUCGACCCGUCCCCGCCCCCUCUCCUAUAGCCCGCACGGAUAAUGACAGCCUAGCCCUGCGGUUCCCCUUGGGACGCGGAUUCAACCCUUCUGCCGUCUACACAGCCACGGCCAGGCGGUCACACGCCUCCGAGCCCCAGCGGAGCUUGGCACGUUCAAAACCUCCGGGCUAUUUUGUGAAGCGAGGGAAUAAGCUCAGCUGGGGCGCAGUGAAAUUGCAAUUUCUUCUCCCACAGCCCGGCCACGCCGAGCGCAAACCCCACCUUCAGCCCAGAUUUAUGACACCAAGCAGACUCCUCCCCCACGCGGCUCACUUAACCCUUCCUGCGCUCCCCCGGGGACCCUCCACCGCGCCGCUUUCCCCGGCUCCGAGGUGGGCUUGUGGUUUUUAAAGCCUCCCUGCGGGAGCACGCGCCGCUCCUUAACAAAAAGGUCCCAGGGACCGGGCAGCUCAGAGGCGAUCGCGACUCCCAAUCGCCUAGAGUCUGCUCCUGCACCACCGGGACAUAAGCGGAGCCAAGUGCGUUCAAUCAGCUUUAAGUGCCAUGGAAACCCCUGGAUCGCCUCCAUCUCCCAAACUGAGGGCUUUCCUGCAAACUUCACACUCAGGAAUCCAUGACGUCUCCCAGCUCCGGGCCAAGGCAGCUCUGUGGCUUUUCUCAGUCUGCAGCACAAGCACUUAAUUGUUGAGCCGAAAGUUACCGAGCGCGAGAGAAAUAUGGAUGAUGUUACAAAUCCCAGUGUGUGUGUUUUUAACCAAAACUUGCAGGCACUGCAAAAGCUUUCAAAGCAACGGGGCUUCUGUGCAGCUUUCUCUCGUCCCAGCAGAGAAGCUCAAGCUGCUGUUUUUUACCUUUGCAUAAAAACAUUCAGAAAACUCAGAUCCCCGUCGCUGAUUUAAAGUCUUUGAAAUUUGCCAGCGCCCUAAUAAUAUCCAUCUUGUUAUUGGCACCGGCUUUAGCUCCUCAUUGGCACUGACUCGAUCCUUCAGUCAAUAAAUAUGGCUAGUGUCAUUUCACAAA